AAAAACAAAAGGAAAAACAAAAUCUAUCACCUUCAAAAAACGUUUUUCUCCUGUAAUUUUUUUUAAUUUUCAAUACAAAAUUUUGCUAACCCCCAUUACAUAAAUUCAUCCGCUUUUUAUAUCCCCCUAUCCCUUUUUACAAUUUUCUGUCUGUACUCCUAUUUGGAUCUAUUUUUCCGUAGGUAUGGAGAUCGUGAAAGGGGUGCGUCGGGGUUGCUGAACGUGCGAGCAACGACGUGCAUGGAAACGGUUGCUGCGGCGCCAAAGCUGGGAAGAAGACUGCUGCUAAGGUUUGUUGUUCUUUGAAAAAUUUUGGGCUGUACAGGGUUAUUGAUUUGGGCUUUAUUGGGUUAGGUUAAAUUUAGUUUUAGGCUAAUGUAAUUGGGUUACAAUUUGGGCUUGUUAUUUGUUUUUUUAACCAGGCCAAAAUUGGCCUAUUACAGCUGCCCCUCUUUGCCCGUUAUCGUGUAACUAGAACAGAGCAAAGACUUUAAAAAUGACCAAUUUUGCCUGGUCAUGUUGGACUUCAGGGCUCUUUUCCUUCAAGUAGCUUCAUUCCAUCCUACUGCAUCUUCAGAUGUAUAAGAACUGGUGUUUCAAUCCACAUCACUGCAACAACAAGAAAUAGGAGUUGUAUCUUGUAGCUUCUCAAAAGAAUAAAAUUUGCUAUCUCUAGUCCGCUCCACUACAACUUCAAUGAGAUAAGACUGGAUGCGAUUUUCUCUUCUGUAACUUCAAAAAGAUGAGAUCUGUCAUGGGGAUUUAAUCUGACCUACUGCAACUUCAUAGGUAUAGGAUUAUUUUCUUCAAUUUCUUUAACUGUAAUGUCGGGAAAACAAGAUUUUCCAUUGUGACUUCAAUCUAUUCCGCUACACCGCCAGGGAGGUAAGAUCCGCCGUUAUGGCUUCAAUCUUUUAAAUCGUAAUGUCGAGAGAACCAGUCCGCCGUUGUAGCUUCAAUCUGUUCCUCUGCACCGCCAGGGAGAUAAGAUCUGCCGUGUGGCUUCAAUCUUUUAAAUUGCAAUGUCGGGGAAAUAAGACUCGCUGUCGUGGCUUCAAUCUGUUCCACUGCACUGCCAGGGAAGUAAGAUCCGCCGUUGUGGCUUCAAUCUUUUUAAUCGUAAUUUCGGGGAAACCAGAUUCGCCAUCGUGACUUCAAUCUGUUCCACUGCACUGCCAAGGAAGUAAGAUCCGUCGUUGUGGCUUCAAUCUUUAUAAUUGCAAUGUCGGGGAAACAAGAUUCGCCGUCGUGACUUCAAUCUGCUCCACUAGACUGCCAAGGAAAUAAGAUCCGUCUUUGUGGCUUCAAUCUUUUUAAUUGCAACGUCAUGGCGAUAAGACUAAUGUCUUCGAUCUGCUUCACUGCCAGUACAGGAAGGCAAGAUCUGCCAUUUUCGACCUACUCAACUGCUGCCCAGGGAGACAAGGCUAGUAUCUUUGAUAUACUUCGCUGCCAAUACAGGAAGACAAGAUCUGCUAUUUUCAACCUAUUCCACUGCUACUUAAGGAGAUAAAGCUGAAGUUUCACUGGUUUGUUCUCUAGGGAACAUGACCUAUAUAAUUCAAUUUAUGAACCUAACUAUUCCUAGCGAUUAGGAUGUCAUGAUCAGAAUGAAUCAAAUACUCUUAACUAGACAUGUAUGAAUGACAUUUGAAUGAAUGCAGAAUGUCAUUUUUUUCGAGAAUAAUUCCUCUUUAAAGCUUAGGUUGUCAUUACUCAAAGUUUAUUUAGGCUUUAUCAUUGAUGUGCUAUAACGCAUUCUUGCUCAACUAGCAUCUCUGAAAAACACUUAAUCAAAUUGCCCCCUACUGUGAACUUCAAAGUUCAAUCCACUGGGACGCAAAAUUUUGUACCAUCUUUCUCCCGUUGUAACCCAAGGAUAGAAAAAUCUGGUAUUUUCUCAAUCCUUUCCUAUCACAAUUCAAGGAUGUAGAAUGUAAGAUUCUUUGGUCCUUUACACCAUUCCCAAGGUUAUACCAAAUGCUCAUGCACAAAUGAUCAUUGCUUGUUUUUUCAUUGACGCUUUGUCACCAACACAACAUCUUGUCACUUUGUUCAAUCAAUGCUUUUGACAACAAAAUCCAAAGAGAUAGUCUUAAUUAGACUCUUCCUUCUCAGAUUUCCAACCUUUAAACUAGGUGCGUUCUAAACAAAAGUCUUGUUUCAGGUUCCGUAUUAUUUAAAAACUUCUAGAGUAAUAUGCAAAACCUCCCUUGUGAAAGUUUUAUUAGUCCAUUAAUCAUUAUUCUAAUGCAACACGCUUGCAAAAAAGAACAAAACUAUGAAUAAAAUGGAAUUAAUUUGAAAGCAUAACUUGCAAUGAACAAAUUAUCAAGAAUAUUGAGAAUAAAAGAGGAAUUGACUUGUAUUUUGAAAAAGAAUGAAGUAUUCCCAGAACAAGCAAUUCAAUAUGAAUAGUAUGAAAAUCAAGUGCCCCAGAUAUCACAGCUUGAACUUUUCUGUACAAACUUGCUGAAGAUCAUUCUGAGUUUGACAUGUGUUUAGAAGAUCUACAGUACUCUGUCAAUGCCUCAAGAUGUCGCAUACCCUUUCCUGCUGAUUCAGGUAUUACAAGACCACCACAUGCCCCAUUCUGAUCAACAUUCGAGUAACUCUGAUCACCUAAUGCCUCAUUUUGAUCCAAAAUUUGAGCCGCCCUUUUUGGGUUUUCAACUCAAAUCCCCUUUGGUCUCAAGGCGCCCUUUGCGGGUUUUCACCUUAGCCUCUCCAUUUUCAUUUUUCCAUUUUUCAUUUUCAUUUUUUCACAUCUCUUUUCUUCUCUUCUCUUUUUUUUUCACUCAAAGUGCCCUUUGCGGGUUUUUACCUUAGUCUUCUCCUUUCUUAAGUGAAAUAUUUCUUGAUUGAAUCUGAGUUUACAAGAUUAAACCAGUUUUUUACUAUCCAUCUCACUUAAUAUCAGUGCUCCUCCGGAAAAGGUCUUCUUUACAACAUAAGGAUAUUCCCACUUUGGCACUCAUUUUUCUCUAAAAUCCUUUUGAAGAGGAAGGAUCUUUUCAAUACCAGGUCUCCCUCGUGGAAUUCUCCGAGUCGAACUUUUUUGUUGUAAGCUCGCAUCAUCCGUUUUUUAGUACAUCUGACCGUGACGAAUAGCUUUUAGCCUUUUUCCUUCAAUUAAGUUCAACUGAUCGUAUUGAGAUUGGAUCUUCAUCCUACUUCAGCUUAGCCAAUACCCAGAGAAAAAGAAUUUCAACUUCAAUAGAAAAACCGUAAUAAGCUAGAGAGAAAGACAUUGCCCUGGUGGAGGUUUUUUUUUUCUUUUUGUUUUUACUUUUUUUUGUUCUUCUUUUGUUCUCUUUUUUCCCCUUUUUUUGUUUUUUUUGUUUUGUUUGGAUUGAAUCUGCACUCAUAGGAUUAGGCAAGUCCUGGUCAUCCCUUUCGAUCAGAAUUAAUGUUAUUCCAGAUAAGGUCUUCCCCAUAAGAUCUUCCACUUUCAUUUUGUAUGCGAAAAAUCUUAUUUGGCAUCAGGUUUCUCUCAUAGAGCCUUUUGGGGCGAAACUUAACUAUGACGAGAAAACUUUGAAUCUUCCUCUUCAAUUAAGAUGAAAUCCAACAAAAAUGUAUUACCCUGGCAAAGAAUUCUGACUGCAUCGUUCAUGAUGUUAAUCUUGAACAUACUGCAAAAUUCUGACGUUGUGGUGUUGCUCAUUUUACAAUAUCAGUGCUUAACAUAGGCAUGUCCUGGUAUAACCAUACGAAGACAUCUUUGAACUCUUGAAGUAACUUAACAAGGUCUUACUUCGUUCCUCCGGUUAUGCAUGUUCCCUCGAGGUCACGAUCUCCACUGACUCCUCAUGAGGUAAAUUUGUCAUCUUCUUACUCUACCAUCCUCAACAAGUCCAGAGUAAGCUACAAUCUACAUCAUUUCCAAAGUCAUGAAAUCUUUCUAAAACAUGUCUCGCUUAAAAGGAGAUUCUAAAUCUGUAGCAGUGUCACUCACAUCAUUGAUAUCUGGAGACCUAUAGUAGGCACCAAAAAAUACACAUAAGAAUGUAUGAAUUUGUACAAUAUGAUUAUGAAUGAAUGAAAGAAUGAUGUGGAAGCAAAUCCAAAAGAAUGAAAGAACAAUUAUUCAAAAAAGAAUGAAAGAAUAUUGGUUCAAAAAUGAUUGCAAGGAUGCAUUUCAUUAAAAUAACGACAUUCAGAUAUGAACCUAUUUCACAAAGGAAUUCUUAUUGCCUCUAGGCUAAAAGCAACAAGUGUGUUUCGAACAUUACUUUGAGUAGGCUCUAAAAACUACGGGAAUUUCCUCCGCAGUUUAAUUAUUUAGAACAUCUCCAAGUUGAUAAGGGCAGAUCUCUAACAAGGUCCCUCCUUCAGUUGUGCCUAUGGCAUUGAUACGAACACUUUCUAACUUUUCCUCAUACAUCAACAUGAUUGGGUAGUGGAAUUUUUUGUACUGGAUGAUAAAUCAUCAAACUUGACAACACCCAUGUUAAUGAUUCUUUUAACUAGCCUUUUGAAGGUAGUGCAAUUCUCUAUUGAGUGCCUUGUAGUUCCCGCAUGAUAAUCGCAUUAUGCACUUGCAUUGUACCAUUUGGGGUACAGAGGCUGUGGAGGCUUCACAUGAAAAGGGGAAACAACAUGUGCAUCAAAUAAGCUUUGAUACAGCUCCUUAUAUGACAUUGGAAUUGGCGUGAACUGGAGCUUCUCAAUAUAUUACUUCACACCUGAUUCUUGUUUUGAUGAACCCUACUGAUUAGCAACCACCUUUCUUGGCUGAUUCACCGUAAUCGAUUUGCUGAACAAAUUCACACUGUUCACCUCAUUUUCUUUUUCCUUUAGGGGUUGCCUUCUGCUAUGUCCUCCAGCAUCAAUCUUUCCGCUUCUUAUGGCGCUUUCAAUCAUUUCACCAUUCAUGACUAUGUCAGACAAGCUUUUUGUGGCACUUCCUAACAUAUGUGUGAUGAACGGAGCUUUCAAUGUAUUUAUAAAGAGCAUUGACAUUUCUCUUUCCAAGAGCAGUGGCUGAACUUGGACGGUGAUCUCCCAACACCUUUGUGCGUACUGCCUAAAACCUUCAUUCUACUUCUUCUCCAUGCUUUGCAAGGUAAUUCUAUCAGGAACCAUUUCUGCUACAUGACUGUACUGCUUCAUAAAAGCCUGUGCCAAAUCUCUCCAAGAACUAAUCCUGGUACGGCUCAAUUGAUUGUACCAUUUAGACGCUGCUCCUGUGAGGCUAUCCUAGAAGCAAUGUAUUAAUAGUUGAUCAUUAUUGACAUACCCAGUCAUUCGCGUACAAAACAUGGUGAUGUGGGCUUCAGGGCAACUGGUCCCGUUAUACUUCUCGAACUCUGGCAUCUUGAACUUGUAAGGGAGCACCAAGUCUGGAACCAAACUCAAAUCCUUAGCAUCAAUCUCACCAUAUCUAUUAGUGCUUUCCAUCACCCUGAAUUUCUCUUCAAUCUAUUUCCACCUUUCCUCUAGUUGUUUUGGUAAUUCCUCUUUUGUCUUUCCUUUUUCGACUGCCUCAUCGAAGUCAGGGAUAAUGGGGUUGACAAGAUUAUUCUCAGGGCUAGAGCCUGAUCCAGCUUGGAAAUUCAUUGACCUUGAAGCAUCAACCUAAAACUGCUGAGGCCUAAUGGUGACAGAAGAUUUGCAUGGGUAUACUUCAGUUUGGGGCUGCACAUGUGGGGAAGUAAAGCCUGGAGGAUACAGGGGUCCGCCAUCACCUUCCUCUUCGACAUUAGCCAUAGGGCUUUUUCCUUUAUCAUUUCCUUCUGUCAACAGUCGUGUUAACUGUGAUAUCAUACUCCCUUGAGAUUCUACCAUUUUGUUCAUCAUUUUUUGUUGGAUCUUCUCAAACUGCUCUUGCAUUUUCUGCUAAAGUUGAUCCUGUAUUUCUUUUUGGAACUGCUCGAGCUUUUCCAACCUUUGAUCCAUAUUCUUUGAUUUCGCUCUUGUACCAUAACGGUGUUGGGUUGACUGGUUAGUUUCCAGGUUAACUGAGGAAUGAUUUUAACCAAUUAGGGCUUUUUAAUGGAUUUUAAUGCAUAUGAUGUCAUGCAAUGCAAAUGCAUGAAAUGAAUGCAUAAAAGAGACGUUGAUUCUGAUUCAAUUGCAUUUAGAAAACUUUACUAGAAUACAAAUUUCUUUACAUAAAGCAAAAAUAUAUACGGCCUCGCCUUUAUACUCUAAGAAACAUUGAUCUCUUUCUUCAUUUGCAUGUUUAAGAUAAAACUCACAAAUUUCCAAUGGAUGCCACUACUAACUCCUUUUUGCUUGAUCCGGGUCACAACUCUUUGUUCGCUCAUGCUCAUUAACUUCUUUUAGAAAGGUUGGGACAUUUGAUGACUCUUGAAUAAUCUUCGUCAACUUGAAUCCUUGGACCAUAUCCGGACAACCAUAUCCGGACCAUAUCCGGGUCACAACCAUAUCCUUGAAUCGUGUAGUCCUCCAUAAACUAUCAUCCUUCUCUUAUCACGUUUUCUUGGACCAUAUCCGGACAACCAUAAUGUCAUCCACUUUAUCAAGAAACCUAUUUUCUUAUGAAAAGCUCUCUAUUUAGCAACUGAACGUGAAUCAACGCCUUUUAGGAUGAAAUGCUAUGCAGUCAUAAUGUCAUGCAAUCAAAGCAAAUCACAACAAGUUAGUAUUAGGUAUAAACAUUAAAUCCAAUACAAUAAAUAAUAAUAAUAAAACUCCUAGUCAGGUAUCUACUAAGGUUAAAAGUAAUUCUACCUAAGGUGAGUUCCUACAAGUUCACUAUAUGAGGUUUGGCUUCUAGAGCAAAGGUACCCGAACCAGUAAAUUCCUCGAUCCUAACCCAUUAUAGGCUCAUAUGGACCGAGUUUGGUUCAGGGGAAUACAUUUCCCUAUGGCUAAACGGAGAUGAAAAUCUCACGAAGACAUAAGUACGGAUGUAUCCCGAAAGUAAUCCACUAUCCUACACAGAGGUGAAAACCUCACGAAGGAAUAGCUUCUCACUCCCACUUAGAGGGGUAAAAUCGUCUAUGCAAUGCAAAAUGCAAAUAGACUAACAAACUUAGACCAAUUAAACAAACAUAUCAUGAUAAAAAUCAAGGAAUGCAAAAGAGGAAAUCGUGAUUUAAAACAAAUUUGAAACCUUUUCGACAAAAAGACAAAAGCUAAUCAAUUUAUGGCUCGACUCUCGAAAGUCCCCAGUGGAGUCGCCAAGCUGUCGAAACCAUUUUUUGAUAAAACAAAAAUUUAGUUGUCGACUUUAAAAACAAAAACUAGAGUCGUCACUGAUCCUUUAUCGAGGUGUGAUCGGUUCACCUAAAAAAUAGUUUUGGCCUACGAAUUUUGAGAAAAUAGGUUCGGGAGUCAGUUACGCACGAGGAAGGGUUAGCACCCUCGUAACGCCCAAAAAUCGGUACCAAAUUGAUUAUUUAAUGUCUUAGUGUCGAGGAUUUAAAAAUAUCAUAAAAAAAACUCAAAUGAUGAAACUUGAAAAGGAUAAUCAAUUGUUCAAGCUGGAUAAAGAAAUCGAGACCCAAUACAUUAGGGUACAAUUUCUCAAAACCCCCGAACUUUGAAUAUCACUUUUUAGUUUUUUAGAAAAUCUUCAUUUCGAGAAAGCAAAUGUUGCCCAAACGUUAGGACACCACAAUAAGUUCCGAAAAUGUUUUUAAACUUAUGCGUUUUGAUAACGAAUAUUCCGGUUAUUUGGAAUAACGAAUAAAAUCGGAACCAAGACGUUAGGGCUCAAUUUUCUCAAAAAUCCCUAACUUUAAUAUCAUUUAUAUAAAAGCCUUUGAAUAAAAAUAAAAUAAAAAAAUAAAAAAUGAUUUUAAUGUUUUGAUAAAAUCAAAAUAUAUUUUUAAAAGAUAUGUUAAAAAAUGUGAAUGCAAUAUGAAACAAAAAUUUAAUUUAAAUUAUAUGUAUACAUAAGUAUGAUAUAUAAAUGAAUUUGCACAAAUAGUAUAUGGAUAUGAGAGAAAAAAAUGCAUAGUUAAAUGGAAUAUCUAUAUGAAUACAAAGAAGAAGAAUAAUAUAAUAAAACACAUAUAAAAUAUACCCAUUUAAAAAAAAGUUAAAUAUAAAAGAAUAUAAAAAAUGGAAAAUAUUUAUAAAGCUUGAUAAGUAAAAUAUAUAUAACAUCUAAAAAAAACAUAAUAAAUUAUAAAAGUAUUAAAAUAAAAUAUAAUUCCUAAAACAAAAAAAAAAAACAAGAAAGGGAGCAAAUUAAACAUGCAUAAGUGGAGGAGGCCCAAAAAACAAUUACCCAUAACUACCCAAAGCAUUGCGCAACAUUGGAUUAAAUCAAAACAUUAAUGUUUCAUGAAAAAUUUUGAAAUUAUGAAAUAAAAUGUGUAUAUUUAUAUAUAAAAACUGUAAAAAUAAUAAUAAUAAAAUAUGUAUAUAAAAAUAUAUUUAAAACGUUUUUAAAAAUAUAUAUAAAUCUGUAUUAAUAUGCAUAUGCGCAUAUAAAUAAGUAUAUAAUAAUAUAUCAUAAUAAACUAAACAAUACAGUAUAAUAAAUAAACAGUAUUAAAAAUAAUAAUAAAUAAAUAAAACAAAUAAAAAACUAAAGGUUAAGUAAAAAAAAAGGCAGAAUUUAAAGGUUAAAUUCCUAAAACAAAAAAAAAAACAAGAAAGGGAGCAAAUUAAAACAUGCAUAAGUGGAGGAGGCCCAAAAAACAAUUUACCCAAACUACCCAAAGCAUUGCGCAACAUUGGAUUAAAUCAAAACAUUAAUAAUGUUUCAUGAAAAAUUUUGAAACUAAUAAAAAGAAGCGAUUUUGAAAAUAAUAGAAACAUGAAGGGCCCGAAUUAUAAAUAACCCAUCAACUUAAAACAUGCGGAUCUAAUCGGGUUUUGGGUCAGGUCAUACGGGCAUUCAGGUACACCAAAUACGGCGCCGUUUUUUAAAUCAAAUAAAACCCCUUUUCCAACCCUAAAAACCAUUUUCUUUCUUUCUUUGAAGUUGCGCCGUAUCUCUGCCCUCAAAACCCUUCCCCUGCUCCAAUGGCAACGAAAUGAAGGGGCUUCAACGAUGCCACUCCGGUAAGUUUCCCUCUACUCCCUUUCUUUAUUCUUUUUUUUUUGUUUUUAUAAACGAAAGAAAAACAAAAACAAAGUAAAAACAGUAAAAAACAAAAGGAAAAACAAAAUCUAACACCUUCAAAAAUAAGUUUUUCUACUGUAAUUUCUUUUUUAAUUUUCAAUACAAAAUUUUGCUAACCCCCAUUACAUAAAUCCAUCCGCUUUUUAUAUCCCCUAUCCCUUUUUACAAUUUUCUGUCUGUACUCCUAUUUGGAUCUAUUUUUCCGCAGGUAUGGAGAUCGUGAAAGGGGUGCGUCGGGGUUGCUGAACGUGCGAGCAACGACGUGCGUGGAAACGGUUGUUGCGACGCCAAAGCUAGGAAGAAGACUGCUGCUAAGGUUUGUUGUUCUUUGAAAAUUUUGGGCUGUACAGGGUUAUUGAUUUGGGCUUUAUUGGGUUAGGUUAAAUUUAGUUUUAGGCUAAUGUAAUUGGGUUACAAUUUGGGCUUGUUAUUUGUUUUUUUAACCAAGACAAAAUUGGCCUAUUACAUUAGGCAUGAUUCUUAUCUAGUGAAUACUACUCUAAAAAAGAAGCAGUGUUCUUAUCUCCCAAUAGAUAAAUGAUUUUUAAUAUACCAACCACUUUGUAGAGACCUUUAAUUGGUGCUUCAAGAUAUAUAUAACUAACUAUAUUCCUAA
rnacentral:lncRNA from 1 species